UACGAAGGGGCUAGCGUUGUUCGGAUUUACUGGGCGUAAAGCGCACGUAGGCGGAUCGUUAAGUCGGGGGUGAAAUCCUGGAGCUCAACUCCAGAACUGCCUUCGAUACUGGCGAUCUUGAGUCCGGAAGAGGUGAGUGGAACUCCUAGUGUAGAGGUGGAAUGCGCCAGAUAUCAGGAGGAACACCAAUGGCGAAGGCAGCUCGCUGGGACGUGACUGACGCUGAGACGCGAAAGCGUGGGGAGCAAACAGG
rnacentral:rRNA from 1 species